rnacentral:rRNA from 1 species
AGUGAACGCUGGCGGCAGGCCUAACACAUGCAAGUCGAACGGAAGAACAGUACGUGCUUCUGGUUCCAGGGGGGGAAGGGCGGGCGGUACAGGAGAAUAUCCCGAUCUGCAUUUUCGGAUGGGCGUAGGAAGGGGGUAAUACGACAUUAUCGCAUACGGCGUACGGGUGGGAUCUGGGGAUCUUUUGCUCUUUGGGGAUUGUAUGCGGCUUUGUCGGAUUAGUGUGUUGGAGGGGUACAGGCCCACCAAGGCGUCGAUCCGUAGCUAGUCUGAGAGGAUGAUCAGCCACACUAGAACUGAGACACGGUCCAGACUCCUAAGGGAGGCAGCAGUGGGGAAUAUUGGAGAAUGGGCGAAAACCUGAUCCAGCCAUGCCGCGUGUGUGAAGAAGGCCUUCGGGUUGUAAAGCCCUUUUGGUGGGAAAGAAAAGCAGGAGGUUAAUACCGCGCUGUUGUGACGGUACCAAAAGAAGAAGCACCGGCUAACUUCGUG